AUGGAGUAAGCUGAAAAUCCAAUAUUAAAAGAGUAAGCG
rnacentral:ncRNA from 1 species